rnacentral:rRNA from 1 species
GACGAACCGUGCAAACGUUGUUCGGAAUCACUGGGCUUAAAGGGCGCGUAGGCGGGUUCGUAAGUCUGUGGUGAAAGCCCCCAGCUUAACUGGGGAAGUGCCAUGGAUACUGCGAGUCUUGAGGAGGGUAGGGGCAUCUGGAACACUGGGUGGAGCGGUGAAAUGCGUUGAUAUCCAGUGGAACUCCGGUGGCGAAGGCGAGGUGCUGGACCCUUUCUGACGCUGAGGCGCGAAAGCCAGGGGAGCAAACGGG